CCUACGGGGCGCAGCAGUGGGGAAUAUUGGACAAUGGGCGAAAGCCUGAUCCAGCCAUGCCGCGUGUGUGAAGAAGGCCUUCGGGUUGUAAAGCACUUUCAGUGGGGAAGAAAGCCUUGGGGCUAAUACCCUCGAGGAAGGACAUCACCCACAGAAGAAGCACCGGCUAACUCCGUGCCAGCAGCCGCGGUAAUACGGAGGGUGCGAGCGUUAAUCGGAAUUACUGGGCGUAAAGCGCGCGUAGGCGGUCUGAUAAGCCGGUUGUGAAAGCCCCGGGCUCAACCUGGGAACGGCAUCCGGAACUGUCAGGCUAGAGUGCAGGAGAGGAAGGUAGAAUUCCCGGUGUAGCGGUGAAAUGCGUAGAGAUCGGGAGGAAUACCAGUGGCGAAGGCGGCCUUCUGGACUGACACUGACGCUGAGGUGCGAAAGCGUGGGUAGCAAACAGGAUUAGAUACCCCUGUAGUC
rnacentral:rRNA from 1 species